rnacentral:tRNA from 1 species
GGAGAGACAGCUCAGUGGUUAAGAGCACUGGAUGAUCUUCCAGAGGACCUGGAUUCAAUUCCCAGUUCCCCCA